rnacentral:rRNA from 1 species
AACGAACGCUGGCGGCAGGCCUAACACAUGCAAGUCGAGCGCGCCCUCCGGGGUGAGCGGCGGACGGGUGAGUAACGCGUGGGAACGUGCCCUUUUCUACGGAAUAGCCUCGGGAAACUGAGAGUAAUACCGUAUACGCCCUUUGGGGGAAAGAUUCAUCGGAAAAGGAUCGGCAGGCGUUGGAUUAGGUAGUUGGUGGGGUAAUGGCCCACCAUGGCGACGAUACGUAGCUGGUUUGAGAGGAUGAUCAGCCACACUGGGACGGAGACAGGGUCCAGACGCCGACGGGAGGCAGCAGUGGGGAAGAUUGGACAAUGGGCGCAAGCGUGAUCCAGACAUACCGCGUGGGUGAAGAAGGCCUUGGGGUUGGAAAGCACUUUUGUUGGGAAAGAAAAGCAGCAGGUUAAUACCCCGCUGUUCUGACGGUACCCAAAGAAUAAGCACCGGCUAACUUCGUG